rnacentral:rRNA from 1 species
GACGAACGCUGGCGGCGUGCUUAACACAUGCAAGUCGAACGGAGUGUCGAACGGGUGAGUAACACGCGGGUGACCUCCCCCGCACUUCGGGAUAAGCCUGGGAAACUGGGUCUAAUACCGCCUAGUGUGGUAUGGGACCGGGGCCUAUCAGCUUGUUGGUGGGGUAAUGGCCUACCAAGGCGGCGACGGGUGGCCGGCCUGAGAGGGUGGACGGCCACAUGGGGACGGGGACACGGCCCAGACUCCUCCGGGAGGCAGCAGUGGGGAAUAUUGCACAAUGGGCGGAAGCCUGAUGCAGCGACGCCGCGUGGGGGAUGACGGCCUUCGGGUUGUAAACUCCUUUCACCAUCGACGCGGUAGAUGGAGAAGAAGCACCGGCUAACUACGGGCCAGCCGCCGCGGUAAUAC